rnacentral:rRNA from 1 species
UACGGGGGGGGCAAGCGUUGUUCGGAAUUACUGGGCGUAAAGGGCUCGUAGGCGGCCAACUAAGUCGGAUGUGAAAUCCCCAGGCUCAACUUGGGAACUGCAUCCGAUACUGGAUGGCUUGAAUUCGGGAGAGGGAUGCAGAAUUCCCGGUGUAGUGGUGAAAUGCGUAGAUAUGCGGAGGAACACCGAUGGCGAAGGCAAUCCCCUGGACCUGUACUGACGCUCAUGCACGAAAGCGUGGGGAGCAAACAGG